GGGAUUGCCUCAGUAACGGCGAGUGAAGCGGCAACAGCUCAAAUUUGAAAUCUGGCCCUUUCGGGGUCCGAGUUGUAAUUUGUAGAGAGUGUUUCGGGUGAGAUCACGGUCUAAGUCCAUUGGAACAUGGCGUCAUAGAGGGUGAGAAUCCCGUAUGUGACUGUGGAUCGAGCCCAUGUGAAGCCUCUUCGACGAGUCGAGUUGUUUGGGAAUGCAGCUCAAAAUGGGUGGUAAAUUUCAUCUAAAGCUAAAUACUGGCUGGAGACCGAUAGCGCACAAGUAGAGUGAUCGAAAGAUGAAAAGCACUUUGGAAAGAGAGUCAAACAGUACGUGAAAUUGUUGAAAGGGAAGCGCUUGCAACCAGACCUGUCCGUAGGUGAUCAGCCGCUGUUUUCAGUGGUGCACUCGCUCUACGAUCAGGCCAGCAUCGGUUCUGGCGGUCGGAUAAAGGCCUUGGGAAUGUAGCUUCCUCCGGGGAGUCUUAUAGCCCUCGGUGCAAUGCGGCCAGCCGGGACCGAGGACCGCGCUUCGGCUAGGAUGCUGGCGUAAUGGUUGUAAGCGACCCGUCUUGAAACACGGACCAAGGAGUCUAACAUCUAUGCGAGUGUUUGGGUGUCAAACCCAUACGCGGAAUGAAAGUGAACGGAGGUGAGAACCCUUAAGGGCGCAUCAUCGACCGAUCCAGAUGUCUUCGGAUGGAUUUGAGUAUGAGCAUAGCUGUUGGGACCCGAAAGAUGGUGAACUAUACUUGAAUAGGGUGAAGCCAGAGGAAACUCUGGUGGAGGCUCGCAGCGGUUCUGACGUGCAAAUCGAUCGUCAAAUUUGGGUAUAGGGGCGAAAGACUAAUCGAACCA
rnacentral:rRNA from 1 species